rnacentral:rRNA from 1 species
GACGAACGCUGGCGGCGUGCUUAACACAUGCAAGUCGAACGGAAAGGCCUGCUUUCCCUUGUGGAUUGCGGGUACUCGAGUGGCGAACGGGUGAGUAACACGUGAGUGAUCUGCCCCCAACUUGGGUAUAAGCCUGGGAAACUGGGUCUAAUUCCCGAUAGGACUGCAGGGUGGUGCCUGUGGUGGAAAACGAUUUUCUAGUGGUUGGGGAUGAGCUCGCGGCCUAUCAGCUUGUUGGUGGGGUAAUGGCCUACCAAGGCGGCGACGGGUAGCCGGCCUGAGAGGGUGGACGGGCACAGUGGGACUGAGAUACGGCCCAGACUCCUACGGGAGGCAGCAGUGGGGAAUAUUGCACAAUGGGCGGAAGCCUGAUGCAGCGACGCCGCGUGGGGGAUGACGGACUUCGGGUUGUAAACUCCUUUCGACCGCGAGGAAGCCACCUGGUUGGAAGGGUGGUGACGGUAGUGGUAGAAGAAGCACCGGCUAACUACGUG